UACGUAGGGUGCGAGCGUUAAUCGGAAUUACUGGGCGUAAAGCGUGCGCAGGCGGCUUGCUAAGACCGAUGUGAAAUCCCCGGGCUUAACCUGGGAACUGCAUUGGUGACUGGCAGGCUAGAGUAUGGCAGAGGGGGGUAGAAUUCCACGUGUAGCAGUGAAAUGCGUAGAGAUGUGGAGGAAUACCGAUGGCGAAGGCAGCCCCCUGGGCCAAUACUGACGCUCAUGCACGAAAGCGUGGGGAGCAAACAGG
rnacentral:rRNA from 1 species